GGAACUGUUUCUGUGAUUCAGGUUACGUGUAAAAUCUUAGAAAAAUAUAAUCCAAGUGUUUGAUUAUAUCCAAGAAUCCAAGGCCUUGAUUCUUGCCUUUGCCUGUCAACAUUCCCAAUAAUAAAACAAACUUUUUAAAAUCAAAUUAGAUCCUCUUGGGAGAGUAUAUUCAAUAAAAGCCCGGAGGUGGUGACUCCUUUGCAGCUCCAGUGUUGCCAGCGCCUAGUGGAGCUUUGUAAACAGUGCCUGCUAGUGGUUUACAAAUAUGCAACUGACAAAAGAGGAUCACUUUCAGGCAUUGGUCCUGACUGGGGUAAUUCCAGGUAUUUACUACCAGGGAGCACCCAAUUCUUCUUGAGAACACCAACCUACAACUUGAAGUACAAUUCACCUGGAAUGACUCGCUCCAAUGUUUUGUUUACAUCCAGAUAUGGCCAUCUGUGAAACAGAAGGGAAGAUCGCCAUUGGUUAUACAUAACAGCAAUUCAUUUUUUUCCUCUGAAGUUGAACAUGCAAAGAACAUGACCAUUAAGUGCUGUUUUAUGUAUAUAAGACAUAUAUAUGUGUGAAAAUAUAUGCACAUAUGCACCCUAAUAACAUAUAUUUAUUAUAUUAAAUGAUAUAUGAAAGAAGAAUUAGC
rnacentral:lncRNA from 10 species